GACGAACGCUGGCGGCGUGCUUAACACAUGCAAGUCGAACGGAAAGGCCCUGCUUGCCGGGUACUCGAGUGGCGAACGGGUGAGUAACACGUGGGUGAUCUGCCCUGCACUUCGGGAUAAGCUUGGGAAACUGGGUCUAAUACCGGAUAGGAACCAUCUUUAGUGUGGUGGUUGGAAAGUUUUUUCGGUAUAGGAUGAGCUCGCGGCCUAUCAGCUUGUUGGUGGGGUAAUGGCUACCAAGGCGGCGACGGGUAGCCGGCCUGAGAGGGUGUACGGCCACAUUGGGACUGAGAUACGGCCCAGACUCCUACGGGAGGCAGCAGUGGGGAAUAUUGCACAAUGGGCGCAAGCCUGAUGCAGCGACGCCGCGUGGGGGAUGAAGGCCUUCGGGUUGUAAACUCCUUUCGCUAGGGACGAAGCUUUGUUGUGACGGUACCUAGAUAAGAAGCACCGGCUAACUACGUG
rnacentral:rRNA from 1 species